rnacentral:lncRNA from 1 species
UCAGCCUCCGUCUAUAAAUAAAAGUCCAUAGGGGAUCCCUAAAUUAUGAAACAUCUUCUCUCCUUAUACGCUCAUUCCUUCCCAUCUAUGUUAGAGAUCUAAUUUGAGCAUCGAAGAAUCUCCAUCGAAGACAACUCCGAUCAUGGACUUUUUUUGUAAAUCCUGCCACCGCCAUCUAGCCAUCGUCAACCUGUAGUCUCCACCAAACUCCAACCAAUCCUACUUUAAGAUGGAUUUCUAUCACAACAACCUUCAUCAUGCCAUCUCAUUGAUGAAGCAGCUUUCGAUGAUGUAUAGAUCCUUUUUAAUCUAGGUAUUAAAGAAAAAUAAUAUAAAACUUUAACCAAUUUUUUC